CCUACGGGAGGCUGCAGUGGGGAAUCUUCCACAAUGGGCGAAAGCCUGAUGCAGCAACGCCGCGUGGGUGAAGAAGGUCUUCGGAUCGUAAAACCCUGUUGUUAGAGAAGAAAGUGCGUGAGAGUAACUGUUCACGUUUCGACGGUAUCUAACCAGAAAGCCACGGCUAACUACGUGCCAGCAGCCGCGGUAAUACGUAGGUGGCAAACGUUAGCCGGAUUGGUUGGGGGUAAAGGGAACGCAGGCGGUCCUUUAAGUCUGAUGUGAAAGCCUUGGGCUUAACCGGAGUAGUGCAUUGGAAACUGGGAGACUUGAGUGCAGAAGGGGAGGGUGGAACUCAAGGUGUAGCGGUGAAAUGCGUAGAUAUAUGGAAGAACACCAGUGGCGAAAGCGGCUCUCUGGUCUGUAACUGACGCUGAGGUUCGAAAGCGUGGGGAGCAAACAGGAUUAGAUACCCCAGUAGUC
rnacentral:rRNA from 1 species